rnacentral:sRNA from 1 species
GCCAGGUGUGGUUGUGCAUACCUGUAAUCCCAGCUGCUCAGGAGGCUGAGACAGGAGGAUCGUGAGUUGAAAGCCAGCCUCAGCAACUUAGGGAAGCCCUAAGCAACUUAGUGAGACCCUGUCUCUA